UCCCUGGUGGUCUAGUGGCUAAAAAUCCUGUGCUUUCACCACUGCAGUCUUGGUUUGAUUCCUGGGCAGGGAA